AUAGGGAACGUGAGCUGG
rnacentral:ncRNA from 3 species